rnacentral:rRNA from 1 species
CGGGACACGUGGUAUCCUGUCUGAAUAUGGGGGGACCAUCCUCCAAGGCUAAAUACUCCUGACUGACCGAUAGUGAACCAGUACCGUGAGGGAAAGGCGAAAAGAACCCCGGCGAGGGGAGUGAAAAAGAACCUGAAACCGUGUACGUACAAGCAGUGGGAGCACGCUUAGGCGUGUGACUGCGUACCUUUUGUAUAAUGGGUCAGCGACUUAUAUUCUGUAGCAAGGUUAACCGAAUAGGGGAGCCGAAGGGAAACCGAGUCUUAACUGGGCGUUAAGUUGCAGGGUAUAGACCCGAAACCCGGUGAUCUAGCCAUGGGCAGGUUGAAGGUUGGGUAACACUAACUGGAGGACCGAACCGACUAAUGUUGAAAAAUUAGCGGAUGACUUGUGGCUGGGGGUGAAAGGCCAAUCAAACCGGGAGAUAGCUGGUUCUCCCCGAAAGCUAUUUAGGUAGCGCCUCGUGAAUUCAUCUCCGGGGGUAGAGCACUGUUUCGGCAAGGGGGUCAUCCCGACUUACCAACCCGAUGCAAACUGCGAAUACCGGAGAAUGUUAUCACGGGAGACACACGGCGGGUGCUAACGUCCGUCGUGAAGAGGGAAACAACCCAGACCGCCAGCUAAGGUCCCAAAGUCAUGGUUAAGUGGGAAACGAUGUGGGAAGGCCCAGACAGCCAGGAUGUUGGCUUAGAAGCAGCCAUCAUUUAAAGAAAGCGUAAUAGCUCACUGGUCGAGUCGGCCUGCGCGGAAGAUGUAACGGGGCUAAACCAUGCACCGAAGCUGCGGCAGCGACGCUGAUGCGUUGUUGGGUAGGGGAGCGUUCUGUAAGCCUGUGAAGGUGUGCUGUGAGGCAUGCUGGAGGUAUCAGAAGUGCGAAUGCUGACAUAAGUAACGAUAAAGCGGGUGAAAAGCCCGCUCGCCGGAAGACCAAGGGUUCCUGUCCAACGUUAAUCGGGGCAGGGUGAGUCGACCCCUAAGGCGAGGCCGAAAGGCGUAGUCGAUGGGAAACAGGUUAAUAUUCCUGUACUUGGUGUUACUGCGAAGGGGGGACGGAGAAGGCUAUGUUGGCCGGGCGACGGUUGUCCCGGUUUAAGCGUGUAGGCUGGUUUUCCAGGCAAAUCCGGAAAAUCAAGGCUGAGGCGUGAUGACGAGGCACUACGGUGCUGAAGCAACAAAUGCCCUGCUUCCAGGAAAAGCCUCUAAGCAUCAGGUAACAUCAAAUCGUACCCCAAACCGACACAGGUGGUCAGGUAGAGAAUACCAAGGCGCUUGAGAGAACUCGGGUGAAGGAACUAGGCAAAAUGGUGCCGUAACUUCGGGAGAAGGCACGCUGAUAUGUAGGUGAAGCGACUUGCUCGUGGAGCUGAAAUCAGUCGAAGAUACCAGCUGGCUGCAACUGUUUAUUAAAAACACAGCACUGUGCAAACACGAAAGUGGACGUAUACGGUGUGACGCCUGCCCGGUGCCGGAAGGUUAAUUGAUGGGGUCAGCGCAAGCGAAGCUCUUGAUCGAAGCCCCGGUAAACGGCGGCCGUAACUAUAACGGUCCUAAGGUAGCGAAAUUCCUUGUCGGGUAAGUUCCGACCUGCACGAAUGGCGUAAUGAUGGCCAGGCUGUCUCCACCCGAGACUCAGUGAAAUUGAACUCGCUGUGAAGAUGCAGUGUACCCGCGGCAAGACGGAAAGACCCCGUGAACCUUUACUAUAGCUUGACACUGAACAUUGAGCCUUGAUGUGUAGGAUAGGUGGGAGGCUUUGAAGUGUGGACGCCAGUCUGCAUGGAGCCGGCCUUGAAAUACCACCCUUUAAUGUUUGAUGUUCUAACGUUGACCCGUGAUCCGGGUUGCGGACAGUGUCUGGUGGGUAGUUUGACUGGGGCGGUCUCCUCCUAAAGAGUAACGGAGGAGCACGAAGGUUGGCUAAUCCUGGUCGGACAUCAGGAGGUUAGUGCAAUGGCAUAAGCCAGCUUGACUGCGAGCGUGACGGCGCGAGCAGGUGCGAAAGCAGGUCAUAGUGAUCCGGUGGUUCUGAAUGGAAGGGCCAUCGCUCAACGGAUAAAAGGUACUCCGGGGAUAACAGGCUGAUACCGCCCAAGAGUUCAUAUCGACGGCGGUGUUUGGCACCUCGAUGUCGGCUCAUCACAUCCUGGGGCUGAAGUAGGUCCCAAGGGUAUGGCUGUUCGCCAUUUAAAGUGGUACGCGAGCUGGGUUUAGAACGUCGUGAGACAGUUCGGUCCCUAUCUGCCGUGGGCGCUGGAGAACUGAGGGGGGCUGCUCCUAGUACGA